UACGAAGGGGGCUAGCGUUGUUCGGAAUUACUGGGCGUAAAGCGCGCGCAGGCGGUUCUUUAAGUCAGGGGUGAAAGCCCAGAGCUCAACUCUGGAAUUGCCUUUGAAACUAGAUGAACUUGGGUACGGGAGAGGUGAGUGGAAUUCCGAGUGUAGAGGUGAAAUUCGUAGAUAUUCGGAAGAACACCAGUGGCGAAGGGCGGA
rnacentral:rRNA from 1 species